UACGUAGGGGGCUAGCGUUGUCCGGAAUCAUUGGGCGUAAAGCGCGUGUAGGCGGUCCGGUAAGUCCGCUGUGAAAGUCGGGGGCUCAACCCUCGAAUGCCGGUGGAUACUGUCGGGCUUGAGUGCGGGAGAGGCGAGUGGAAUUCCUGGUGUAGCGGUGAAAUGCGCAGAUAUCAGGAGGAACACCGAUUGCGAAGGCAGCUCGCUGGAACGUUACUGACGCUGAGACGCGAAAGCGUGGGGAGCAAACAGG
rnacentral:rRNA from 1 species